AUUGAACGCUGGCGGCAGGCCUAACACAUGCAAGUCGAACGAGUGGCGGACGGGUGAGUAAUGUCUGGGAAACUGCCUGAUGGAGGGGGAUAACUACUGGAAACGGUAGCUAAUACCGCAUACCAUCGGAUGUGCCCAGAUGGGAUUAGCUAGUAGGAGGGGUAACGGCCCACCUAGGCGACGAGCCCUAGCUGGUCUGAGAGGAUGACCAGCCACACUGUAACUGAGACACGGUCCAGACUCCUACGGGAGGCAGCAGUGGGGAAUAUUGCACAAUGGGCGCAAGCCUGAUGCAGCCAUGCCGCGUGUAUGAAGAAGGCCUUCGGGUUGGAAAGUACUUUCAGCGGGGAGGCGUUACCCGCAGAAGAAGCACCGGCUAACUCCGUGCCAGCAGCCGCGGUAAUUC
rnacentral:rRNA from 1 species